UCUUUUAUUGAUUCCCAAUUUUUUGUCAAUGAACCCUAAUUCGAAGAAACAACUCUGAUUUUCUUUUCACAAUCUCUAAUUCAAAGAAAGUUAUGAGUUUACUUAACAUUUUCAACAUUUUCUUUGAUUAUCCAUUUUUGCCACUGAUUUUUAAUUCAAAGUAGCAAAGACUCACUUUUUUUUUUUCUAACAAACCCUAAGUUGAAGCACUCUCAGUAUUUCUCCCAGUUUCUUAAUUAAAAAUUACAAAUUACACAUCACAUUGUGCCACAUCAUUAAAAAGAACACAAUUAGCAUAUCAUGUACACAUCAAACAUCGUUUGUCUAAUUUAAUAGUAGGACUCUAUUUGUUUCAAUUUUUCAAAAUAAAAAACCCAAUUAAAAAAACAAUAAGAGUACUACUUGAGAGUCUAGCCUAAAAAUAUGACCUACCA
rnacentral:lncRNA from 1 species